GACGAACGCUGGCGGCGUGCUUAACACAUGCAAGUCGAACGGAAAGGCCCUGCUUUUGUGGGGUGCUCGAGUGGCGAACGGGUGAGUAACACGUGAGUAACCUGCCCUUGACUUUGGGAUAACUUCAGGAAACUGGGGCUAAUACCGGAUAGGAGCUCCUGCUUCAUGGUGGGGGUUGGAAAGUUUCGGCGGUUGGGGAUGGACUCGCGGCUGAUCAGCUUGUUGGUGGGGUUGUGGCUUACCAAGGCUUUGACGGGUAGCCGGCCUGAGAGGGUGACCGGCCACACUGGGACUGAGAUACGGCCCAGACUCCUACGGGAGGCAGCAGUGGGGAAGAUUGCACUAUGGGCGGAAGCCUAAUGCAGCAACGCCGCGUGCGGGAUGACGGCCUGCGGGUUGUAUACCGCUUUCGCCUGUGACGAAGCGUUAGUGACGGUAAUGGGUAAAGAAGCACCGGCUAACUACGUG
rnacentral:rRNA from 1 species